CUACGUGCCAGCAGCCGCGGUAAUACGUAGGGCGCGAGCGUUGUCCGGAAUUAUUGGGCGUAAAGAGCUUGUAGGCGGUUUGUCGCGUCUGCUGUGAAAGGCCGGAGCUUAACUCCGUGUAUUGCAGUGGGUACGGGCAGACUAGAGUGCAGUAGGGGAGACUGGAAUUCCUGGUGUAGCGGUGGAAUGCACAGAUAUCAGGAGGAACACCGAUGGCGAAGGCAGGUCUCUGGGCUGUAACUGACGCUGAGAAGCGAAAGCAUGGGGAGCGAACAGGAUUAGAUACCCUGGUAGUCCAUGCCGUAAACGUUGGGCACUAGGUGUGGGGAACAUCCCACGUUUUCCGCGCCGUAGCUAACGCAUUAAGUGCCCCGCCUGGGGAGUACGGCCGCAAGGCUAAAACUCAAAGAAAUUGACGGGGGCCCGCACAAGCGGCGGAGCAUGCGGAUUAAUUCGAUGCAACGCGAAGAACCUUACCAAGGCUUGACAU
rnacentral:rRNA from 1 species